rnacentral:RNase_P_RNA from 1 species
UAAGUAAGACAAACGAUCGCGGCUGUACUCGUACAGGUGAGGAAAGUCCGGGCUUCACAGGGCAGGAUGCCAGAUAACGUCUGGUGGAGGCGACUCCAAGGACAGUGCAACAGAAAGAUACCGCCUAAGCUCCGGCUUGCUGAAGCUUAGGUAAGGGUGGAAAGGCAGUGUAAGAGACUACCGUCCGUCUGGUAACAGGCGGAGCCAUGUAAACCCCAUCCGAAGCAAGACCAAACAGAAGGCCACAGGCUUGCCCGGCCUGCCUUCAGGUAGGUCGCUUGAUGCGGCUGGCGACAGCCGUACUAGAUAGAUGAUCGUUCGCGACAUAACCCGGCUUAUCGUCUUGCUUACACU